GCCUGGGUGGCUCAGUCGGUUAAGCGUCUGACUUUGGCUCAGGUCAUGAUUUCAUGGUCCGUGAGUUCGAGCCCCACAUCAGGCU
rnacentral:tRNA from 1 species